rnacentral:rRNA from 1 species
AGCAGCCGCGGCAAUUCCAGCUCCAAUAGCGUAUAUUAAAGUUGUUGCAGUUAAAAAGCUCGUAGUUGAGUUUCGGGGUCAGUAGGUUGGUCAUGCCACUGGUAUGUACUGGUCUCACUGAUUCCUCCUUCCUGAUGAACUGUAAUGCCAUUAAUUUGGUGUUGCAGGGAAUCUGGACUGUUACUUUGAAAAAAUUAGAGUGUUUAAAGCAGGCUAACGCCUGAAUACAUUAGCAUGGAAUAAUGAAAUAGGACGUUCGAUCCUAUUUUGUUGGUUUCUAGGAUUGACGUAAUGAUUAAUAGGGAUAGUUGGGGGCAUUAGUAUUCAAUUGUCAGAGGUGAAAUUCUUGGAUUUAUUGAAGACUAACUACUGCGAAAGCAUUUGCCAAGGAUGUUUUCAUUAAUCAAGAACGAAAGUUAGGGGAUCGAAGACGAUCAGAUACCGUCGUAG